CAUGCGGGGUAAUUGUAGUUGC
rnacentral:siRNA from 1 species